GCCUAGCCCUAAAUCUUGGCACUUCCCCUACUAAAGUGCCCGCCCGAGAACUACGAGCACAAACGCUUAAAACUCUAAGGACUUGGCGGUGCCCCAAACCCACCUAGAGGAGCCUGUUCUAUAAUCGAUAACCCACGAUUCACCCGACCGCCCCUUGCCAAAACAGCCUACAUACCGCCGUCGUCAGCCCACCUUCGUGAAAGAAAAAUAGUGAGCGCAAUAGCCUCGCCCGCUAACAAGACAGGUCAAGGUAUAGCUCAUGGGGCGGAAGAAAUGGGCUACAUUUUCUGAAACAGAAAAUUUAACGAAAGAGGACGUGAAAUCGUCCCCGAAAGGCGGAUUUAGCAGUAAAGCGGGACAAUAGGGCCCCCUUUAAACUGGCCCUGGGGCACGU
rnacentral:rRNA from 1 species